rnacentral:rRNA from 1 species
CCUACGGGGGGCAGCAGUGGGGAAUAUUGCACAAUGGGGGAAACCCUGAUGCAGCGACGCCGCGUGAAGGAAGAAGGUUUUCGGAUCGUAAACUUCUAUCAGCAGGGAAGAAGGAAGUGACAGUACCUGACUAAGAAGCCCCGGCUAACUACGUGCCAGCAGCCGCGGUAAUACGUAGGGGGCAAGCGUUAUCCGGAAUCACUGGGGGUAAAGGGUGCGUAGGCGGUAGGGCAAGUCAGAUGUGAAAGCCCGGGGGUCAACCCCGGGAUUGCAUUUGAAACUGUCUUACUAGAGUGCAGGAGAGGGAAGCGGAAUUCCUAGUGUAGCGGUGAAAUGCGUAGAUAUUAGGAAGAAAACCAGUGGCGAAGGGGGGUUUCUGGACUGGAACUGAACCUGAGGCACGAAAGCCUGGGGAGCGAACAGGAUUAGAUACCCCAGUAGUC